CCUACGGGUGGCUGCAGUCGGGAAUUUUGGGCAAUGGGCGAAAGCCUGACCCAGCAACGCCGCGUGAAGGAUGAAGUAUUUCGGUAUGUAAACUUCGAAAGCAUAGGAAGAAUUAAUGACGGUACUAUUUAUAAGGUCCGGCUAACUACGUGCCAGCAGCCGCGGUGAUAAGUAGGGACCAAGCGUUGUUCGGAUUUACUGGGCGUAAAGGGCGCGUAGGCGGUGCGGUAAGUCACUUGUGAAAUCUCUGAGCUUAACUCAGAACGGCCAAGUGAUACUGCAGUACUAGAGUGCAGAAGGGGCAAUCAGAAUUCUUGGUGUAGCGGUGAAAUGCGUAGAUAUCAAGAGGAAUACCUGAGGUGAAGACGGGUUGCUAGGCUGACACUGACGCUGAGGCGCGAAAGCUAGGGGAGCAAACGGGAUUAGAUACCCGAGUAGUC
rnacentral:rRNA from 1 species